GGCCAAAUGGUCUAGUCGUAUGAUUCGCCCUUCGGGCCUUCCCCGUCAACUAGCCAGGCGAUACUGGGCGAGGUCCCGGGUUCAAUUCCCGGUUUGGCCC